GUUUAUGGUGGCUGUGCACGGGGCGCUUCGACGCACUGAGAACCUGGAGUCUCAGUCUUCCACACCCGUGUACAGCCGCCACCCAU
rnacentral:antisense_RNA from 1 species